rnacentral:rRNA from 1 species
UACGAAGGGGGCUAGCGUUGCUCGGAAUCACUGGGCGUAAAGCGCACGUAGGCGGAUCUUUAAGUCAGGGGUGAAAUCCUGGAGCUCAACUCCAGAACUGCCUUUGAUACUGGGGAUCUCGAGUCCGGAAGAGGUGAGUGGAACUCCGAGUGUAGAGGUGAAAUUCGUAGAUAUUCGAAGAACACCAGUGGCGAAGGCGGCUCACUGGCCGAUACGUACGCUGAGGCACGAAAGCGUGGGGAGCAAACAGG